GUAUAUCAGUGUUUUAUUAAUUGUUUAUAUUUUUAAUAAUUUUUUUGAUUCAUAAAAUUACUUUAUUUCAUUAAAUUUGAAAAAUGAAAAGGGUAAAAAAGAGACAAAAUAGACAAAAUUGGUUUUAUACCAAAGAGAUAACCAUGCUAUUUUGACCAAAUCGGUCAAUAAAAUCGGAAACUAUUUAAUCGGCCCAAUAAACCGACUAGGCAGCCCGUCAAACUGAUUAAUUGGCCCAUAAUUUUACUAUACAAAGAUAGAUAUUUUGGGCUUUACUUGAAGCCCGAUAUCUUAACAAUACAUUUCACGUUGAGGACACAAUAUAUAGAGCGCAUUUCCCUUCUUUUUUCUUCUGUAACCGAUGUGGGACUCUUGUACUUUAACAUUAUAAUGCGAAAGUACAAUAAAAUGCACAGAUGGGGCGUCGAAGCCAGGUAGCUUAGCGUGAUAGCAGUGGUCUUGACCACUAGGAGACAAC
rnacentral:lncRNA from 1 species